AACACGAACAAGACAUAAACCAAUUUCAUUCAGAUUAUGAUUGUGUCAUAAAUAAGGCUCUGUAUCCACUCAGUUCCAAUCGGCCUCCUUAAGCAGGCUUGCACUUGUUAAAUCCUGUCUGUGACCUCAGGCAGCCUGUUCUAAAUGCAAGACUCUUGCAUGUGUGAAGAGAGGAGCUUGGAAAAUAACACUGAACUGAGUGAAGGGGAAAUCUAUUUGGAUUCCUUACAUCUCUGACUGGACUGCCUUUGACUGGUCUUCUUAUAAGAACAUUGCAGCCUUCUCAAGAAGAGUCUGUAGAGCUACUGGCCCUGAAGAAGACAGUGGAGGCAAGAAAAUAAAUGUGAUCACUGUCUGAAGGCGAGUCUUUUGUCCAGGUCCUCACACACCAUUUGCCAGUGAAACACCCAAGACCAAGCCUCAGGCUCUAUAAUGCUAACUUAAUCCUUAGAAAACAGAAGUCUUCAGGUCAGAAUCCCGAAACUGGAUUGCCGAAACAAGUUAUUCAUAUCUGAAUGAAUACUGAAAGCUGGAGAGAGGCUUUUUACAUGGGCAUGUAGAGAAGUAAUUGCCAAAUUCUGAUCAGAUACAGCCUGUAUCCUUUUGGAGAAAUGAAUCUACACCCUCAGCCUCAAAGAACAGUUACAGAAGGGAAUGACAGCAUUUGCCUGCCUGCCUCCACAUUUUUAUUAGAUCUGAACAAUGCUGUCAUAAUGGAAAAGAAGAUCCAGUGAACAACAGUUCUGUAAGGGUGCUGUGUGAGGAGAUGUGUAUGAGGAGUUCAAAGACUAUGAUUUAACUGAGUCAUAGAAGUGGAAUAAACAGAGCAGGAUGAUUUUCCAAAUUCUGGAACAAGGAAGACCUGCAGUGUCUCGAGUGACAAGUGAUUUCUGGGCCAUGGUUUCGCACUACAAACAGUUUAUCUGCAAGAUUUUUAGUUCGUGUUCAACCUCACAGUGUGGUGCCACAAACAAUUUUUCAGCAGUGUGAGGGUAUGUUUUCAGCCUCAUGUCACUGCAGAGGGCAACAGGAUAAAAAGGGGAAAAGAGUAUCUGAAGACAUUUUUUUCACUGAACACUUUAUGCAAUGAAAACACAUCUUUAGGCAAAUCAAAAUAAUGGAAAACACAAGUGCUUUUUAAAAAUUCAGACCUUUAAAUAACAGCUCAGAAUAAACUGUCAAAGACUAACACACCAAAAUUCAUUAGUUACCAAAAAAAAAACUCCUAAAGGAAAAGAAGUAUGAAGAUUAUUCUGUAUUGGUUUUGGUCUGUCCUAAGCAAGAAAUUGUGUACCAAUCACCUUUUCUGAUGUACAGAGAUCAGUUUCUUCUUGUAGGCAUUAAAAACACUGUAGAAAAGUACACUUUCCAUAAAUAAAACAAAGAAAUUAAAAUCUACAAUACAUUACUGGCAAGUCUGAUCAGGGAGUUUUUAAAGCCAUAACUGAAGUCACUGCAGACAACAGCUGAAGUUACUGCAAAAUAAAUUAAUUGUUGAAACAGAUGGCAGAAAUUAUAUUCCCUUAUACAUGGAAAAACAAAGUGAGAUUUGUUACCUAGAAGCAAAGUGAGAACUAUUUGUUACCGAGAAGCUGUGGAUUUAAGCCAGUUUUCCAGCAACUUCAUAACUAAUAAGAUUUACACAAAGCAUAGGAUAUCCUGUCUUUCUAAAUUUAUAACAAGAAAAAAAAUGGCAGUACUGUCCAAAUACAUAUAUUUUACUUCAAAAUUUAGCUGCAAUGUAAUACUACUGGUUUAGAUUCAGUUUAAAAGUUACUUUUAGGAACUCUAGCAUACUGAAUGGGGAGCACCAUAAACCCCAUUCCAUUAUCAGUGAGAAGCUCAACAGCUUUAUUAGUCAUUAAGAAUGGUGCUCUCAGUUUCUCUAGUGUGAGUCAUGAAGCCAAGUAGGCAAUUAUGUAAGACAGAUUUUGGUAAAUAUAAAAUAAAAUAAAAUGAAAUGGAUCAUUUUGGUUACAAAAAUCUCAGACCACUUCAUGAAAUGCCAUGUUGUUUGCUCCCAUCAGCUUCAGCAAGUAUUAAAUGUUGUCUGUAUCUCAAAAAUUAGGGCUUGUUUUGCUAAAAGUUAUGUUGACAAUUUUUUAUAGUCAGAUUACUGUGUAUUGCUACAAUUUGUUAAAAUUGAAUUGCAAGAUACUAAUAAGAAUCCAGGACAACAAAAGGAACAAGAUGCUCAAGGACAAAUUUCCUGUGUAGUGUAAAUGGGAAGAGUUUCUAGAUUUCAAAGACUUCAUAUUAAUCCACAUCUGCUAAAGACCUAAUUCUUAAGUACACAGAUGCAGACAACACUUCAGUAGAUGUAUUUUUCUGCUGAGAGUCUUGAAUCAUACAGAUUCUUGCUCAUCUCACCCAUUCCCACUUACAACAAUCUGCCUGUUCAGAACCUACCCAGAGCGACAAGAUUAGGAAAAACAAAGUCAUAAAUUGUCAAGAAUCAGUGACCUGGAGCUCUGGGAAAGAAAUUUUUCUUUCCAUGUUUUGGUGCAUUUGAGGACUUACCUAUUGAGAGUAUUUUUCCAGGCUUCAAGCUUCCAGGCUUGUCAGUUUUCUUUCAGAAAAGCAGCAGUUUGGCCAUGGUCCCCUGGCAGCAGGAGCAUGGUUACUGUGGAGCACAAAGAAGGCCUCAGAAGCCAAAACACUGUGCUCACUUCCCCACCACAAUGAAUUGCCACCUGAAAGGUGCCAGAUCCACAAAACUAGAAAUUCAGGUAGAGAGAGGGCUACUAGAAAUGCACCUGGCUUCCCACUGCUUUUUUAAAUACAUCUAGAAGGAGGUGGUGUCCAUGUAUAUCACCCAAGGCUGGUUCCUCACCUGUAAAUCCUGUAGAAGUAUGGCGACUGCCAGAAACAAAAUGAGUUUCAUGUCUGAAGGAGUGUGAUACAGAGUAAUGACAAGGAUAGGGUGAACUGUUGAGAAAUUAAUGUAUCUCAAAGUGUAUAUGUUUCAGACAUGAGGUCACUUCUGGAGGGCCUCAGGAGUAGGUUAACCAAGUAAAUAACUUCAUUGGAGAAGGAGAAGAGAGCAAGCUAAAAUGACCUGAAAUAUGUGGGUAAGCGUUUAUAUUUUGUCCUCUCAAACUAGCAUCUGGAGAAAUAAAAAAGCUAGCAAGAGUCAGAGUGAAGUGACCCCAAACUUUUAGGAUUAGAUCUGUCUGUUUUAACACUUUAAUUUUAUCUGGAGACUGCCCUAUGCCUUUUAUGAUGAAGGUUUGUGGCAAGCAGUUUAAAUGUUUCCAAGGACCAGAUGCAGACAACAUCUCAGUCUUUCCUUACACAAUCUGUGAGUGGCAUAAUUUUAACCUACUGUUGAUUAUUAUUUAAAGGUAUUUUAUUUUACAGAGAAAAUUGGACUACUUUCAAUGGUCCUGAAAUAAAACUGCAGUGGCAGAUCAAGGUCCUAGUCUUGAAUAAUGGUUCAUGUGAUAAAGUCUAUCUCUACAAGGAAGUCUACACAUGUCUUCCCAAAACUCGUCCCCUGUCGGAACCCAGGACAUCCCUCUGGGUGUCCUGGAUGGCCAGAGCUGCUGGCAGGGGGCUCUGGGACCCUGGCAUGCAGCCAAAGACACUCUUGGGGUUUUGAUCUUAGCCCGUGGAGCAAAUUACCGACUCUGUAUGAAGAAUUACAAGCCACACACACACAAGUUCAGGUAUUGUAUUAGAAGUAGUCAUGAAGUGAAAGGAAGGAUUUUUGAGUGCUGUACAGGGGGGUUUUAAGCCUUGUACGCAGGGGUCCAAGUUUUGUACAUGGGGGUCAGGGGAUUCUAAGAUGGAGGGAUUUG